UCAAUCAGUCUACCCACGUCAGCCAUCUGCACAGUAGGAAUCCGAACACUCAGUGAGCUGUGACUACAGUGAAGUUUAGGUUCUUCUAGACUUUGUUUAGUCCAUUUCAAACACUGCACACCACUCCGUGGGGCGUUCGCAUCUCCAGGCUCCGUGCGGAUUCACAGGUGCUCCGGCUGCAGUUCUGGGAGGCCCAGAGCCGCCCAGCAGGUUCAAUGUCCUCAGCCACAAAACGGAAGGGGUCGUAGACCCUGUCUCUAACUUGUCAUUGGAUUAAACGAGAUUAAUGCAUCCAAAGUACUUGGUGCAAUGCCUCACAGCGAGGAAGCUCUCAACAAAAAGUCGCAUUUACUCUUCAUCUUCUUCUCCUGCCAUCCCAGGAUGUAAAAAAGCACAGCUACUUUCUGAGCCAUCUCCAACCUCCAUUCUGGGAAUCGCCAUCUGUGAAGUUCAAGGGCAGAUCCUCAGCUAUUCCAGGGACGCAGUGGGUGGGCUUUGCCUUCACCGGCUCUGGCUGUCCAUCCAAUGUGCCUGGUGUUCUUCCCACAGUGAAGAGGAAGAUGUCUGCUUUUGGCUGCUUCCCCUUAGCAGGGAAAACCCUGCAACACCUCUCUUUAGGGCGUGGUGCCUUAGCGCCUCACCUGGAGGCGCACGUCUAUUUGUACCAACGGCAGCAAACCUGGGACAGGUCUAGUGCCAGGAUUCCCAAGUUCAUUGCUCGUCAUCCUGAUUCACCCUCAUCACACCAGUACAGUUAGACGGUUUAUUAGAACACGGCCCCAGCGCAGAGGAGAUCCUGGUUCAGUUCCUUAACCAUAUCCUAUACUCAAAUGCCCUUAAGAAGAGGUAAAACGUGUGAAAAAAAAUGAAAUCAAGCCAAUAGGAUGUCUUAAAGACAGUGAAGGGAGGGUACAGGGUCCAAGAGUCACAACUAAUUGGUAAAGUUUUUUUUUUUUAAAGAAGCUAACAUGGUUCAUCAUUGAUCAAGUUUUGCUGUGCUCUAGGCACUAGACUAAGUGCCUUACACAGGUUUUCUCACCAAAUCCUCUCGAAAACUCUGACAGGGUGCAAUUAUUAUCCCCACUGAGAAGUGAGAUAACAUCGAGGCUUGGUGGAGUUUAGCAACUUUUACAAGGGCAGCUAGUAAGUUUUUGGACCUUCUUCAUUUCUUAAAAAAAAAACAAAAACAACAACAGAAAAAAAAAAACCCCAAAAACCCUGUAUCUAGGUAAAGUCAACUUUUAGCAACCUUGAAGAGGAAAUUAAAAAAAAACAAAACUAUAACUCAACAUUUCUCGGAUGGCCGUUGCAGUAGAAGGGUGUCACAGGCUGGGUGAAUGAGUAUGAUCUCCGUGUCUUCACGUGUUUCUGGUUAAACCGUCUUUCUUUGCAACCGACUAUUUCUGAAGCAUGGGUUGACGUCAUCACCCCAUUCUGAAAGUCAACAUAUGGUCUAAGUGGAUUUACGGUGGUUCCUCAUCUCACCUCCCCAGCUGGGACAAUCUUCUGCUAGAACAGAGGAACAGGAGGCCUACACAGAAGCAGAAUAGAAAAACUCAGCAACCUUCCGUUCCCCCUAAAUGGACGGAAGCCACCCUGGCAGCGUGACCUCGUUUUCUCAUUUGAGGUGCGGGCACAGUGACUUGCCAGCAAUCAGAACCCUGAAAGUCCUGCUGAUUCCAAAACAGAGUCACGUUAUCAUCACUUGUUACAUUUGCAUACGCUCCCCCUCAACACGUCACCUGCUGAAGACCACUGGGCUUAAGAGUUAGGGCUCCUUGAGUUUAUGUUCCGCACAGGCAAAUGAAAAUGAUGGAGAACAAACCGAAGUCAGAGGAAAAGAAUCUGCCUUCCCUUUCCUCGGAAAAUAGAAAUACACUAUUGAAAGAGAUUUCUCAGUUAAUGAACUUGGCAAUGAAAAACAAACCAACCAACCCUAAAUGCUGCUUAGAAACGCAGCCUUUAAGCUCACUGGCCGGUGAGCCCACGGAGGCUCAGCUUUGACAGCAAGGAGCCUGGGUUCUAGACGUGCCACCAACGGAGAGGGUAGCAUUAGAGAAGUUACCAGCGGUCCUAGCCUUCUACAUCACAGGGCGGUAGGGUAGAAGCCGCAUGGAGCAUGCAGCAUGAAUGUGGCAUUAUCAUCAUUAUCAGUGAUGGUUUGAAUUAUCCCGAUUUCCCUUGAUAUCAGAUGUACUCUUAGCUUUCUCCCGACUGACUGCCUUCCUUAGUAUUUCUCUAAAUAGAAACACCCAAACAAGAACUAUCUCAUCUUUCCAACUGUCCCCUGCCUGGUGUCCCUAAGCCCUCCCUUUGUCAACUCGAGCCCAUUCUCUGACCAAUGACUAGAAUGGGUUUUCUAAUGCCUAAGUCAAAUCACAUUUCUCUCCUGCGUGAAUCCAACAGUUGACUCCCCUUCCCUCUUAGUGUAAGAUCCAAGGUCCUUCUCUUGACCUAUGAGGGUCCCCCGGACCUCCCCCAGCUCCGACCCCUCCUCCUCCAGCUCUCUCCCCCUCGUUUACCGCCCUCCAGUUCUGUUGAUCUUCAGCUGGACAGACCAGCACACUUCCUCCACUCCUAAAUCUCUGCGUGGGUGGCUACUUCUCAUCAGUUAUCACCUACCUAAAACAUAUCCCGCACGUCUCUGUCCUACUGCCCUGACUCAUUCUCAACGCGCUCAUCACUCUCUGACAGUAUAGGAUUUCUUCGUUCGUUUACCUUUUUGUUGUCUCCCCCAAGUGUCUGCGGGCAUGGCUCCCUGUAGGCACGCCACAAAUAGAAAUGGAUGGAGAGAGAUGGAUGAUUCCAAAGCCCAGCUGUAUGCACGUGUGCAUUCAUUUAUUUACUGUUCCGGAAAAUUCACACCUCCCCUCUACAAUGUUAAUAAAAAGCGAUGCCACCGAUUUCUCAGCACAGGAACUUGUAACAGAGUUUCCCGACUCUGUCCAUCUGCAGAGCAAAUAAGUAUCUCUUCCCUUGUGGAACUAAGUACCCAAAACAAUUAGAACUAGGGACUAUCUGUAACAGAGGCAAGUAAAGCCAGAAGUAAAAAGAUGUCACCUCCGGAUGGAACACACUAGAACCGGAGCUGGUGGGAACCAGGGAAGCAGCUGUUAACUUCUCUGUUGGAAAAAAGAUUUCAUCUUCCACCAUGGUCCAAACUGAAUCCUCUGCUUAACUCUAGCCCGGCUUCUCCUUCUGUCUUUCCAGCUUAGCGCACAUCCCCCCCAAACACCCACUCAGCCGUGCUUACCACCUGCGUGUCAGCCUAAGACGCCUUCCUCCACUUAAUGAAAUCUCCACGGUAAGUCAGUUUAAUUCGCCUUCUCGUCUUACUGUCUUAGUUCACAAGCCCCCAUCUUCUGAUCCACUCUCCACAUUGCUUCUCGAGGGAUCUUUCUAAAUAGCAAAUCUGAUUAUAUCAUUUCCAUGCUUAAAACCUCUUUAACAGAUAAAAUCCAAAUUCUAUAAUAGGGUUUUUUUAAGAGCCUUCUGCAUAUCUUUCUGGCUUUAAUAUCCACUCCACUCUGUCACCCCCACCACCCAGAACCAGAUACACGUAUGCAAAAUUUCCCCUCCCUCUUUCUCUUGCCAUCUACCAAGCAUUCUUAUUGCCUGGCCUUACCUAAAUUACUUGAGUUCUUUAAGCACAUCUGGGUCUUUCUAAUCAUUUCUUUGCACAGUCUGUCCCCUCCACUUAUCUGACAGGACGUGGUUCAAACAUUUCUAUGUUUGGAGAAAUUGUGAAGUUUUCUUUUAUGCAUAGGCAGACACCAUAGUUUCUGUCUACAUUUCUUUCAAAAACUUUAUCAUAUGACAUUUUAACUAGUUUGCAUGUCUCUCUUCCUAGCUACACUGAGUGUUCUUUGAGGGUAGGGCUCAUGUUUCAUUUAUUUUCAUAUUCCCCAGAACCUAGGAAGUACUCAAUAAAUAUUUAUUAAAUAAUAUAGACAAAGGUAAGAUUUAAAAAAUCCUUUCUUUGAGAUUUACAAAUGUUAGCCACUAAAUAUAAAAAUAGAUUUUUAAAAAGUUUCUUUUGUAUAGCAUAGGGAACUAUGUUCAACAUCUUGUAAUAACCUUUAAUGGAAAAGAUAAGAAAAUGAAUAUAUGUAUGUACAUGCAUGACUGGGACACUGUGCUGUACACCAGAGAUUGACACAAUGCAAUUGACUAUACUUCAGUUUAAAAAACAAGUAAAUAAGAAUAAAAAAUAAAAAAUC